ACAGAUUUUCAGUCUUCUCUCACAAAUUCCUGGCUUCUAUCAGUUUAAAUCAGAGCUCCAAAGUUACUGUAACUUAUCUGCGGGUGUAGCUUUGCCAAAGCCCUUUACUUCUACAGAGUCACAAGAACAGGGAGGUGCUUUGCAAGCAAAUACAAGGCCUAGUCAACUGUUCAAAAAGCCAGACUUACGGUGUUUCAAAGGAACAUCGGUCAAAGGAAGAUUGCACACCACCACAACUAAAGAAUAAAAAUAUCCAGCUUCCAGGGCUGCAUUGCAUUUUUCCCCUGAAAUCUUUUAUACUAUUUUUACUGGAAGAUGACCAAAACAGAAUCAUCCAAUGUGGUUCUGCUAUGUGGAGGGUUGGGAAACUAGGAUUCCCAGCCGAUGACAGAGUUGUGUGAGGAUUUCCUGCAG